rnacentral:misc_RNA from 1 species
AAGAAUCUCUGAUCAGCUCCAGUCAAAUGGUGAAGGGAUUUUCUCGGCUUGCUGAGUGUCUGGAUGACCUCUCUCUGGACAUCCCCUCAGCAAAAUCACUGUUUGAGUUGUUGGUUCCCAAAGCAUCAUCUGAAGGAUGGCUUGAUUCUUCCUUUUUGAAGUCAUCUAGUUCGAAUGCAGAUUGCAGAGAUGAAGAUUAUGAGAAGCUAAGGCGGUACAAAGAGGAAGUAGUCACCAUAAUUAACGAGUAUUUCCUCUCAGACGAUGUAACUGAACUUGUUCGAAGCCUUGAAGAUCUUGCUGCCCCAAAGUAUAAUCCUGUUUUUCUGAAGAAACUUAUUACACUUGCCAUGGACCGGAAAAACAGGGAGAAGGAAAUGGCAUCUGUGUUACUAUCUGCACUUCGCAUGGAGCUUUUCUCGAUUGAUGACAUUGUG